GUAGCUCAGUCGGUUAGAGUGCCGGCCUGUCACGCCGGAGGUCGCGGGUUCGAGCCCCGUCACUCGCGCCA
rnacentral:tRNA from 1 species